AUGAACGCUAGCGACAGGCUUAACACAUGCAAGUCGAGGGGCAGCACAGGUAGCAAUACCGGGUGGCGACCGGCGCACGGGUGAGUAACGCGUAUGCAACUUGCCUAUCAGAGGGGGAUAACCCGGCGAAAGUCGGACUAAUACCGCAUGAAGCAGGGGCCCCGCAUGGGGAUAUUUGCUAAAGAUUCAUCGCUGAUAGAUAGGCAUGCGUUCCAUUAGGCAGUUGGCGGGGUAACGGCCCACCAAACCGACGAUGGAUAGGGGUUCUGAGAGGAAGGUCCCCCACAUUGGUACUGAGACACGGACCAAACUCCUACGGGAGGCAGCAGUGAGGAAUAUUGGUCAAUGGCCGAGAGGCUGAACCAGCCAAGUCGCGUGAGGGAUGAAGGUUCUAUGGAUCGUAAACCUCUUUUAUAAGGGAAUAAAGUGCGGGACGUGUCCCGUUUUGUAUGUACCUUAUGAAUAAGGAUCGGCUAACUCCGUGCCAGCAGCCGCGGUAAUACGGAGGAUCCGAGCGUUAUCCGGAUUUAUUGGGUUUAAAGGGUGCGUAGGCGGCCUUUUAAGUCAGCGGUGAAAGUCUGUGGCUCAACCAUAGAAUUGCCGUUGAAACUGGGGGGCUUGAGUAUGUUUGAGGCAGGCGGAAUGCGUGGUGUAGCGGUGAAAUGCAUAGAUAUCACGCAGAACCCCGAUUGCGAAGGCAGCCUGCCAAGCCAUUACUGACGCUGAUGCACGAAAGCGUGGGGAUCAAACAGGAUUAGAUACCCUGGUAGUCCACGCAGUAAACGAUGAUCACUAGCUGUUUGCGAUACACUGUAAGCGGCACAGCGAAAGCGUUAAGUGAUCCACCUGGGGAGUACGCCGGCAACGGUGAAACUCAAAGGAAUUGACGGGGGCCCGCACAAGCGGAGGAACAUGUGGUUUAAUUCGAUGAUACGCGAGGAACCUUACCCGGGUUUGAACGCAUUCGGACCGAGGUGGAAACACCUUUUCUAGCAAUAGCCGUUUGCGAGGUGCUGCAUGGUUGUCGUCAGCUCGUGCCGUGAGGUGUCGGCUUAAGUGCCAUAACGAGCGCAACCCUUGCCACUAGUUACUAACAGGUUAGGCUGAGGACUCUGGUGGGACUGCCAGCGUAAGCUGCGAGGAAGGCGGGGAUGACGUCAAAUCAGCACGGCCCUUACAUCCGGGGCGACACACGUGUUACAAUGGCGUGGACAAAGGGAUGCCACCUGGCGACAGGGAGCGAAUCCCCAAACCACGUCUCAGUUCGGAUCGGAGUCUACAACCCGACUCCGUGAAGCUGGAUUCGCUAGUAAUCGCGCAUCAGCCAUGGCGCGGUGAAUACGUUCCCGGGCCUUGUACACACCGCCCGUCAAGCCAUGGGAGCCGGGGGUACCUGAAGUCCGUAACCGAAAGGAUCGGCCUAGGGUAAAACUGGUGACUGGGGCU
rnacentral:rRNA from 1 species